AGUUGUUAUCAAAGCUCACCGAUAGACUUGACAGACCAGACAAAGGUUAGGACAAUGUCAGGUGUUUGUCUUGUAGAGAGACUGAUAUGUGGGUCGGGACAGACACAGACAAUUAGUAAUGUUAGUUUAGGCGUAGGCUAGAUACUCAGCCUAUAUAGAGUAGAGUUUGGGGCAGUCGGGACACAGCGCCAUGUAGUGUUAGCAGGGGCGUGUGUCGUGUGCUAGGCGUUUUCUGGUGAACGACACAUACAGACAUUGGGAGCAAGUCGCAGAGGCUGGCUCGCAAUCUUGGCUCCAAGAGGUGUGAGUUGUUUGCCAGAGACAACAUGUAGGAACUAAUUCUUAGGGACCAGGAGUGACAGUCUUAGUGACAUUCUGACAGUCUGGGUAGCAGUCUUUAGCAUGAGGCAGUCUAAGCGUAGAGACACUGAAUAGAUGUUAGCGACAGUGGCGUAGUCAGCAAGACAAAGAGCGACAUGCAGUAAUUGACAUGGACAGCGGUACUGAAUUCUGAUGCAGUCUGCGGCGUUGGGUCCAGUGCAUGGAGGAUGGAGUAGCCGUGGUGGUCUGAUUGGCAUGGGUGAUUAAUUGCUGUAUUGUUGAUUAUGUCUUCAUUGUUUAUUAUGUUAACAGAUAUCAUAGUUUUAUUAGUACAUAGUAUUGAAGCCA
rnacentral:sRNA from 1 species